GUGGCUGUGGCUCAGUGUAGAGUGCUUGCCUUGCAUGUGUGGGGCACUGGGUUUGAUUCUCAGCACCACA
rnacentral:tRNA from 1 species